ensembl:lncRNA
AUCCAAUCACAUGAUCACGUCGAUGUUUCGCGUCUCUCCUCGUGUGGUCUGUAUUUCAAAAUAAGAGCCGUGACCAGAAGUUGACUCCAAAAAUAUUAAAAAUAUUAUUUAAAAUGAGGAACGCUUCACGAAUUUGCGUGUCAUCCUUGCGCCAUCCCUAAACCGAUGCUCCCUUUCCGGUUGUCCUACAUGGCUUGCAUCCUAAUUGGUCUGUCCUACUUGUCAGCUAAACGAUGUAAUUGGCUAGUUUAGUUGGACACCGCGAAAAGGAGGCGUCAGUUUGAUUCUACUUCACUGCCAUUUCGUUUUUACAGACUCAGUCUUUGUCGACAUUUCUUUCUUUACAGCGAUAAACUUUAUUGUGAGUAGCGGACUUUUCACGAAGAUCAUGGACCAUCGCCCUUUGUUCCGUGUGCAGCCUUCGUCCACUGAGCUCACUCUCAGGCCCUCACCAGAAGCACUGACGGUGGCCCAGGCCUAUCAUGGGUCUGAGGCAUGGAAGGUGAAGGUGCCUCAAAAGGUGAAGGAGGAGGCGCAAGCUCGCACUCUGCAAGGAGGAGGAGAUCCCCACUGCUCCCAGCUGCUUCUCAGCCAAUAUGAGAUCCAGUUUGGGCAGUACCGGGGACAGACCUUCAAGUGGCUCCUGAGUCACGACGUGGGCUACGCUGUGUCCCUGCUGGCCUCACACCAGAAGGAGCGGGAGAGUGGUGACACAUCCAGCUCACCACUUAUGGCCAACAAGGUGCUGUGGAGUACAACACAGAAAUAUCUCACUCAUCCUAGUACAGUAAAAGUAGAGCCAUCAUUAGAACUAUUAUACGGAUCCCAACUCACACAGCUCAAUCAGAGCAAUCAUCAAGAAAUUCCUAUUUCUGUCAUAAUACACAUAUUCUGUUCUCCCGCUACACAGGAUGCCCUCACCUCCUACAGCAAGCUGUUCCCAGAGGUGAUGUCAGCCGUGGAGGGACGCCGUGCCACGGAGGGUUCCAAGUCUGUCCGGAGCCAAGACAAGAAGUUGGUGGAGUUCGGCCCCCACGGAGCCAUGACCUACGCCUCCAUGUACGAGGCCACGGGGAAAGAGGUUGAGACCUACGUGCAGUGGCUGAGGAAGAAGAAGUGCAUCCCAGGCAGCUCUCUGCAUGCUUUAAAGACCUACAUACUGGGCCGGGACCAGGAGAAGAACCAGCAUCCCUCCCAGCAGCCCCAGUGCCCACCAUCUGACGGUGUUGUGCUCCCAGUUGCUGUUCCUGCUGCCUCCACGCGUGUCUCUGAAAAGCUGAUUUCUUUGUCUUCUCUGUGUGAAACAGCUGCUAACGAGCCCUCAGACGAGAUGCUCCCUGGCUGCUGCCUUAGAGGUGGAGAGUCAGCGUGAGUUCACUCACACGCACACGCACACAUGCCAAUGGUUAUAACCCUUUAUCAAAUGUAAUGAUUCUGUGGUGAACGUGUUUGGACCUGAUAAUAGCUGUUAUUCUGUUAUUCAGAAGCCUUCUAUGGAUUAAUGGUGUAAAACUGUAUGUAAGUUAUAAGGUGACUACGAGGUAAGGUUGAUGUUUACUGGACCCUGUAGAGAUCAGCUGUAGGCCUAACAACCUAACCUUGGUAGAUACUCACGCUUCGCUGUCCGUCUGUAUGUCAUCACAUUAUGGUAUGGUGAUUGUUGUUGUCCGUCAGUAGUUUAACUGGCAUAGUAAAGUUUGUUCUGUGCACAGAACACAGACAUCAGACAGAUUCAACGACACGUGUUGUGGAAUCUCUCUCAUGUCUGAGUAUUUGCAUGACUUUGAUUACUUUUAGUUAUUUUUGCAGAGGUCCCAUCUUCAGCCUCCACUCCUGUGCCCGUUGAUGACCUGGACCUGUCUUCCAGUGGUGACAGCAGCGUCGCCGUGCGGCCCAGGACCAGAGCUGCAGCCGCAGCUGAGGGCUGUCCUAAACCCUCGCGGCCAAUUAGUGGCUCAGAGGUGAGACACCCCCCUCCCUCCCUCUGCAGGGCAGCUCCCCCCACUGUGCUUCAAAUUGUUUGGCUUGUGCUCACCUUUUGUCUGUUUUCUGUGGUGAAGUUGCUGCCUGCAUCCCCCACUGUGCUUCACAUUGUUUGGCUUGUGCUGACCUUUUGUCUGUUUCUGUGUUGAAGCUGCUGCCUCACAGCUGGAGGCAGACUCUGCCGGAGGAGCAGCAGGACUGGGUGGGCCGGGCUCUGUUCACCAGGAACGCCAGGGGCCAGCGUGUCCUCACCACCGACCUUCGCCUCUGGUGGUACCCUCCCGGAGCCCGGCCCCUCUACACCCAGACCCCUGCAUCGUCCCACGCCUUCUUCCAGAGGCCGUUCUUCCUGUGGCUGCCCUACAAGAUGUGGGCGUGCAGGCUUGUGU